AGUUUCUCAGGAGGACUCUGUCCUCAACCUUCAGCCACGUGGGAGCCGCGCUGAGAUACGUCUGGGACAGGAUCAGCUCUCAGGAGUCUAAAGAAGCCAUCCUGGGCUGUGUGCUGUGUCUCCUUAACAUGCACAAGAAGGUGGAUCAGCCAGCAGCUGACUCUCACUGAGUCACUCUCUUGGCUUUCCUUCCUCUUCAGAAAGAAAAAGAGAGAGGACGAGAGAGAGAACAAGAGAGGGAGAGAGAACAAGAGAGAGAACGAGAACAAGAGAACAAGAGAGACUUGGGAAGAGAGGAAGCUCUCUCUACUGAGCUCUCUCCACUUUCCUUUCUGUUCACUCAAACUCCACUUGUUUACUGCCGGACGGAGAGAGAGAACAAGAGAGGGAACAAGAGAGGGAGGGGGGGGUUUCAGACUUUUCAUUAGAGCUUACUUGGACAGUAGUAUUUUUCUGACUAGAGAGAAAAGCGCCCAGAUUCAGGUGAAUGAGACUAUAUGUUUACAUAUCGGACUGUUUCGUACCGCUGGGUUGGUGCUUACCACGUCAGAAAGCAUCGUCAGGGAGGUCCGACCUUUCACCAUCGGGACCAGGCUGUCUGUCUCUGGACCAGGUCCAGACUUCCGUGACUCCUACCAGAGGGACUCUGGAUAAUAUCACCCUGCAGAUCAAGUCUCCCUCUACCUCAGCCAGGUGCAGAUCCAUCAGGAAGAUCUCCAUCUCUGGAAGCCCUGAGGAGGUGGACAGCUCCUGGAGGAGACACCAGUCAGAUCGCAGAGUGGUCAUUGAGAAGGAGGACAGCUCCUGGAGGAGACAGCAGUCAGAUCGCAGGGUGGUCAUUGAGAAGGAAGACAGCUCCUGGAGGAGACAGCAGUCAGAUCGCAGGGUGGUCAUUGAGAAGGAGGACAGCUCCUGGAGGAGACUGGGUGGUCAGUAUGGAACCAGGAUUGGGAAGAACCCCUGUCACAGUGACCAGAAAAAUCUGAAAACAUCAAAAACAACAACAUCAGCAACUCCUAACCACAGCUGCCCAGGAUAGUGGGAGUCAGCUGUGAGAAUAUAAAGCUGCCCAGGAUAGUGGGAGUCAGCUGUGAGAAUAUAAAAGCUGCCCAGGAUAGUGGGAGUCAGCUGUGAGAAUGUAAAAGCUGCCCAGGAUAGUGGGAGUCAGCUGUGAGAAUGUAAAAGCUGCCCAGGAUAGUGGGAGUCAGCUGUGAGAAUGUAAAAGCUGCCCAGGAUAGUGGGAGUCAGCUGUGAGAAUGUAAAAGCUGCCCAGGAUAGUGGGAGUCAGCUGUGAGAAUAUUACCCACUUCACAUUUAAGAUAAGAGACAAAAAACGUGUCUGUUAAUGUUAAAAAGAACGACACUGGUUUUAGGCUCUCUCUAUGUUGGAAAAUGUUUCACCACCAUCAGAGUGCAAAGUAGCCUGUUGUUGGGCUAAGAGGCUCAAACAGAAAGGUCAAUAAAUACCUAAAGUUCCUAAUCCAUAUAGUAACACAUGAACAUGUAGGUUCAUAAUUAGGAAAUGCAAAAUCUGUUGUUUUUUAUUCAAAUAUGGGCUGGAAUGAAAAACCACAAUUUGUAGAAAUAUAAAGGGUGAACUUCGGAGUAGUGUGGGCAAUCAAUUUAAUAGGCGCACACACCAGUAAAGCUUUCCCAUUUGUUUGACAUUGUCAAGAUUACUGCUGUGUGGGCAUGCUGGUUGCGUUUGCAGGGUUUGGUGUCAAGGUGUUUGUGAGUGAGUUGAGCGGCCUGUGCAGAUCAAAUUUUGCUGCAUGUUUUGGAAAAUGAACAUGAGUUCAUACACUUACUACUUCCACAUUUCUAUAAUAUUAGUAGUCCCUGAUGGGUGUUAGUAGUCCCUGAUGGGUGUU
rnacentral:lncRNA from 1 species